AACACGAACAACACCAACAGGGGACCCUAUAGAACGUCCUAUUUUAGAUAUAUAACGUUGAGAAAACAGGAGAUCCUGCAGACCGCCCAAGGGAUCAUAAAAGCCUUAUAGUAUAUACAUGAAAAACAAACUACAGGGGGACCUAUAGAAUUUCCUUUCUCAGAUGCAUAAUUUUUAACAAAAGAGGAUCCUGUAGACCGCCCUGGGGAUCCUGUAGAACGACCUAUAGUAUAAACAUGAAAAACAAUCAAUAGGGG
rnacentral:lncRNA from 1 species